GAAGGUUCAUCCCAGUAUGAAGAAAGAACAUGGACUAAGGUGCUAAGACAUGGAGGCGCAUGGCAUAUGCAGAGAACAAUCUCAGAGAGACACAUAGAUACAAUGAGGAUGAUACUGGAGAUUAGAAGAAUAUAGGAGAUAAUUGUGACAUAACUAACAGCAGACAGGUGACAAAUGAAUGACAAGGCUUCUACUAAGGCAGCUGAGAAUACAAAGGAUAUCUUCAUCUGUCCCUGAUCCUCUGUAUCAACCCAACAUGCCUAGCACCCACUGUGCACAGAGGAGCCACUAAGAGAGAUGACGUGGAGGGGGAUGGGACUGGAGUUGGUGAUUGACUACAUGUGGGAGUUCAAGACCAAGGCUGACCCUGAGAGUCUGCAUGUGCAGCAUUUGCCUCCCUCCGGAGAGCCCAGAAUUCCUUUCAUAAGCAGCUGCUCAUUCAGAGGAUCUAAUGAGGAAUUCUGUUUGCUAGCAGUGGUGAAGAAAGUUUCCUGAGGAAACUCCAGCCUGACAAAAUGAUAGGUAUGGAUGCAGAAUUUUAACAGAUGGAACA